GUGAGGAAUAUUGGGCAAUGGGCGAAAGCCUGACCCAGCCACGCCGCGUGAGUGAUGAAGGCCUUCGGGUUGUAAAGCUCUGUGGGGAGGGAAGAAAAAGCGGGAGAGUAACUGCUCUCGUGUUGACGGUACCUCCUUAGCAAGCACCGGCUAACUCUGUGCCAGCAGCCGCGGUAAUACAGAGGGUGCAAACGUUGCUCGGAAUUACUGGGCGUAAAGCGCGUGUAGGCUGACAUGCAAGUCGGGUGUGAAUUCCCAGGGCUCAACCUUGGAACUGCACUAGAAACUGCACGUCUUGAGUACUGGAGAGGGAAGCGGAAUUCCGGGUGUAGAGGUGAAAUUCGUAGAUAUCCGGAGGAACACCAGUGGCGAAGGCGGCUUCCUGGACAGUAACUGACGCUGAGACGCGAAAGCGUGGGGAGCAAACAGGAUUAGAAACCCGAGUAGUCC
rnacentral:rRNA from 1 species